UUUAGUUCAAACCCCCGAAACUAAGUGAGCUACCCCGAGACAGCCUAUCAAUUAGGGCCAACCCAUCUCUGUGGCAAAAGAGUGGGAAGAGCUCCGGGUAGAGGUGACAAACCUACCGAACUUAGUUAUAGCUGGUUACCUAAGAAAUGAAUAAAAGUUCAGCCUCGCACUCCUUGCCUCACAAACAUCUAAAGCCUACACGAGCCAAAGAAAUAUGCGAGAGUUAGUCAAAGGGGGUACAGCCCCUUUGAAACAGGACACAACCUCACACAGGAGGUUAAAGAUUAUACUAAACAAGAUACACCGCUUUAGUGGGCCUAAAAGCAGCCACCUAAGCAGAUAGCGUUAAAGCUCCAGCGGACUAAAAAUCUAUUAUCCAAAUAAUUUAUCUAAAACCCCUAACAAUAUUAGGUCGCCCCAUGCCUACAUGGAAAAGAUACUGCUAAAAUGAGUAAUAAGAAGGAACCCCCUUCUCCUAGCCUACGUGUAUAUUAGAUCGGACCCCCCACUAAUAAUUAUCGAACCCAACCAAAGAGGGUAAUGUGACCACACUAAACAACAAGAAAACAUCACACCACCAAAUCGUUAAUCCCACACCGGGAGGCCCACAAGGAAAGACUAAAAGAAAAGGAAGGAACUCGGCAAACCCAAGCCUCGCCUGUUUACCAAAAACAUCGCCUCCUGCAAAAUCAAUGUAUAGGAGGUCCUACCUGCCCAGUGACAAGUUAAACGGCCGCGGUAUUUUGACCGUGCGAAGGUAGCGCAAUCACUUGUCUUUUAAAUGAAGACCUGUAUGAAUGGUGGAACGAGGGCUUAACUGUCUCCCUUUUCCAGUCAAUGAAAUUGAUCUGCCCGUGCAGAAGCGGACAUAUUAAUACAAGACGAGAAGACCCUUUGGAGCUUAAGAUAAAAGAUCAACUAUGUCAAGAAACUAAGAACAUAGCUUAAACUAAGUAGCGACUGAUCCUUGUCUUCAGUUGGGGCGACUGCGGAAGAAAACAAAGCUUCCACGAGGAUUGGGACAAAUAUCCUAAAGCCGAGAAAGACACUUCUAAGCCACAGAACAUCUGACCAUAUAAGAUCCGGCCACCAGCCGAUCAACGGACCAAGUUACCCUAGGGAUAACAGCGCAAUCCCCUUUCAGAGUUCAUAUCGACAAGGGGGUUUACGACCUCGAUGUUGGAUCAGGACAUCCUAAUGGUGCAGCCGCU
rnacentral:rRNA from 1 species